AAGUCGUAACAAGGUUUCCGUAGGUGAACCAGCGUAAGGAUCAUUAACACGUAGCCAACGUUAAACCCCCUCCGUGAACCUUCAACGCAGUGCCUUUGCGGCUUAAUCAACCCAACGCGGGUGUAGCAAAUUAACAGCUAUCUCUGCACUCCGUCGUAGGACAAUGCAAGGUGUUGAGACUUCUGAUUGGUAGCGUUGACCAAGUGGUUAUUUUUCCCCAAGCAAUCGA
rnacentral:misc_RNA from 1 species